rnacentral:sRNA from 1 species
GUUGGGUACGGUGGCACAUGCCUAUAAUCCCAGUUACUCGGGAGGCUGAGGCAGGAGGAUUGCAGGUUCCAGGCCAUCCUCAGCAACUUAGUGAGGCCCUAAGCAACUUAGCUAGACCCUGUCUCAA